GUUUGUUAAGAGCUGCUGAGGACAGAAAUAUUUAACCAAGAAAAACACAAACAAUAUUACUGGAUAUUAGUACCGAUACCAAAUGAUUAAAACGGGAAAAUCUGUAACUAAAAUGUUGAAACAAUCAAUUUACUACUACAUGUUACCACUGAACAUUAUGUUAAUUGCAUUGACCCAAACCCAAAUUCCCGAACUGAGGUGAACUGCCCUAGUACAUGCUGGCUGUUGCAUGUAUAAUUCACCAGACCUGGUAUGACCUUGAUAUCACCACUCUCCAGAAAUCUUUUCUAGGAUGUCCUGCCUCUCUUUCUCUCUCUCUCUCCCUCCCUCAUGCUGUGUUUACAGCCGUGCACAGUGCUGCAUAUCUGACAUUUCUCUCUCAAACUCCAACCAGCUCUGUUCUCAUCUUAAAGAGAGAAGAGAAGAGAAGAGAAGAGAGGCUAGACUGCUUACAACACCUGACCCGAGCUCAUCUACAGAAAACAAACAGCACCUUGAUUCCCAGACUCAUCCCCUGAAGACAGUCUGACCCAGUCAGUCCAGCUCUUCAGAGUCCUAACAGGCCCAGCAGCCUGACAACACUUCCCUCUCGUUUCAACUAGUCCAUCACAAUCUAACAAGUCUGCUGUCUCCAUGGAGCGCGUUCAGCACAUGACCAAGUCGGCCAUCCGCCGAGCGUCUCAGAUCGAGGUGAACCCACAAGCCAAGAGGAACCUGCAGGAGCUGUUUGUCAACUUCACCCUCAUCCUCAUCUGUCUACUUCUUAUUUACAUCAUCGUCCUGCUGAGCAGCUGAGAGCAGCAAAGCCAGAGAGAGUUUGGCACAGCUGUACUGUGGAAGAGGGUUUGGCUGAUAUAUGAGGUUCACUCAUACAUCUGGAUAAGAUUUCUAAGACAGCAGUAAUAUCCUACCUAUGUAUCAGCCUAACCCUGUUUGACAGCAGCCAUAAAAAAGGAUUAUGGAGGUAAUACAACUCCAUGUGAAUUCAGUAAUGGCCAAACCCUCUCAGUACAUGGCUGUGGCAGAGCUCCAGGGUGAUGUGUCUAUGAGAACUGAUCUGGGAUCAGAUUCUCUUUCUCAAGGGAAUGAUCAAAAGUGACCCGACUUCAACGGUCUAAACUUCACUGAUAUACUGUGUGCAUGUAUAUCUGCCUGCUGCUCUUCAAAUGUUAAGCUACUGUAUGACAAUGUCUCCUGCUUAAGACUAAUAGAACAGUAUGUGCAAUGUGUGUAACACUGAAAUAGAAAUACAAAUACAUCUUCCAAUUCCCACGAACCCUGUUCCCUCCAUCGUCCCAAUCAUUAGGAGAAAUAUGCUGGAAAGUAUUUUUCCCAUGUGCAUCUUUACUUUUUCCUUCAUUUUUUGCUCCCAGAAACCACACACCACAGACAGCCGGUGAAAAAACUAAACAAAACAUAGAUAUAAUACAUCCAAUGCAUUAAACGGAGGGACAGCACAUUGUUUAAUUCUGACUCCUAAGGUGCCCUUCAGGUAUAAACAUACAGUCAAAUUAAAGUCUAUGCACCAUUUUCCAUGUAAAUUAGUAGAUUUCUGAAUGUUAUUAGGCAAAUUAUUUAAAUAAUACUAGUAAAUGACUGCACAAUUUAUAAUUAAAUGCAACCCCUUUUAUAACAAGGGCAAAGAGAUUUUAAAUUAGUGCAAUCAGUUGAAUCUACAUGGCAUAAUAUAUUUAUAUAUUUGGAACUAAUUAUUAGUUAGCAAUGGCUGACUAAUGUAGCUGCCUGUCAAGCCAAUUAGCUUACUGUCAGGACACAUGUCUGACAUUGUGCCUACUUCUUGAUUAAAAUAGCAUAUAAAUAAGGCACUUAAAGUAAUAUAAUCAUCCUGUUACUGUUGGUUUUUCAGUGCAAAUAGAAAGUUUUAAACAUAUUCCACACACAGUGUCUGAUCCAGCAGGCUUCACAUACACAGUACAUGCAGUUUGUCAGUUUAUCAGUGAAGAAAGUUUCACUUUGCAUGGUGUGAUUUCACUAAAGGACUGUUUAUGCCAAGUUCCCUUACUGUUUAGAUUUAAAAUGUAUUACUGACUAUUGUUGAUAUUUCUGGUUAAUAACAGCACAAGUGUGGCAGCUACAGUGUAAUUUUACAUUUGUAAAUCUGAAGUGCACUCACAAGUCCACAAUAUUAAAUAGUUGUGUCAUUACUUUCAAAUGAUAAUUUUACCAAAUUACCAACCUCAUUUCUAGAACAUACAAUGGAUCUUUACUACAUGAAUACAAAUGUAACAACAUCAAUUACUAUACAUUUAAAGUAAAAAUAAAAAUGGUUUUGUUCAUUUAUGUAUGUUGGAAAUAUUGUAACACAGGACUUUUAAACAAAACAGUAAAUAAACUGCAUGACAAUAAGAGCAGUGGUUUUAUUUCCUUGUUCAUUUCAUAUCCUACUUGCACAAACUAGCUAGCAUUAGCAUUAGUAUUAAUAUUAGCAUUAGGUAUUUUACAUUAACUCACCCGUUUACCUUGAUGUGAGAGAAAUAAAAGGCCAGAAAUUCUCCAGCUGGACAAAUAAUUGUAUUGUACUAUUUUUUUGUGAAAAUUGUUUACCCUUCCAAUUCACAAUAAUAAGUUUAUAAAUGUUUAUAUUUAAAGUCAAAUGUGAUUGGUUAGUCU
ensembl:lncRNA